CCUACGGGGGGCUGCAGUGGGGAAUAUUGGGCAAUGGGCGCAAGCCUGACCCAGCAACGCCGCGUGAAGGAAGAAGGCUUUCGGGUUGUAAACUUCUUUUCUCAGGGACGAAGCAAGUGACGGUACCUGAGGAAUAAGCCACGGCUAACUACGUGCCAGCAGCCGCGGUAAUACGUAGGUGGCAAGCGUUAUCCGGAUUUACUGGGUGUAAAGGGCGUGUAGGCGGGGACGCAAGUCAGAUGUGAAAACCAUGGGCUCAACCUGUGGCCUGCAUUUGAAACUGUGUUUCUUGAGUACUGGAGAGGCAGACGGAAUUCCUAGUGUAGCGGUGAAAUGCGUAGAUAUUAGGAGGAACUCCGAUUGCGAAGGCAGCCUGCUGGACUGUAACUGACGCUGAUGCUCGAAAGUGUGGGUAUCAAACAGGAUUAGAUACCCGAGUAGUC
rnacentral:rRNA from 1 species